UAGGGAAUCUUCCGCAAUGGGCGCAAGCCUGACGGAGCAACGCCGCGUGAGUGAUGAAGGUUUUCGGAUCGUAAAGCUCUGUUGCCAGGGAAGAACGUCCGGUAGAGUAACUGCUGCCGGAGUGACGGUACCUGAGAAGAAAGCCCCGGCUAACUACGUGCCAGCAGCCGCGGUAAUACGUAGGGGGCAAGCGUUGUCCGGAAUUAUUGGGCGUAAAGCGCGCGCAGGCGGUUAUUUAAGUCUGGUGUUUAAACCUUGGGCUCAACCUGAGGUCGCACUGGAAACUGGGUGACUUGAGUACAGAAGAGGAAAGUGGAAUUCCACGUGUAGCGGUGAAAUGCGUAGAUAUGUGGAGGAACACCAGUGGCGAAGGCGACUUUCUGGGCUGUAACUGACGCUGAGGCGCGAAAGCGUGGGGAGCAAACAG
rnacentral:rRNA from 1 species